UGCCCUUUCGUCUAACGGCAGGACAACAGCUUUUGGAGCUGUGUAUCGAGGUUCGAAUCCUUGAAGGGCAA
rnacentral:tRNA from 2 species